GCAGCAGCCGCGGUAAUACGGAGGGUGCAAGCGUUAAUCGGAAUUACUGGGCGUAAAGCGCACGCAGGCGGUCUGACAAGUCAGAUGUGAAAUCCCCGGGCUUAACCUGGGAACUGCAUUUGAAACUGUCAGGCUGGAGUCUUGUAGAGGGGGGUAGAAUUCCAGGUGUAGCGGUGAAAUGCGUAGAGAUCUGGAGGAAUACCGGUGGCGAAGGCGGCCCCCUGGACAAAGACUGACGCUCAGGUGCGAAAGCGUGGGGAGCAAACAGGAUUAGAUACCCCGGUAGUUCCUGUCUCUUAUAA
rnacentral:rRNA from 1 species